rnacentral:rRNA from 1 species
AUACGGAGGGUGCGAGCGUUGCUCGGAAUUAUUGGGCGUAAAGAGCAUGUAGGCGGUCUGUUAAGUCUGGUGUGAAAGCCCGGGGCUCAACCCCGGAAGUGCAUUGGAUACUGGCAGACUUGAGUAUGGGAGAGGAAAGCGGAAUUCCGAGUGUAGGAGUGAAAUCCGUAGAUAUUCGGAGGAACACCAGUGGCGAAGGCGGCUUUCUGGACCAAUACUGACGCUGAGAUGCGAAAGCGUGGGGAGCGAACAGGAUUAGAAACCCCAGUAGUCC